GGGGAUGUCGCUCAUCUGGGUAGACCGCUCGCAUGAUGAGCGGGAGGUAGGUGGUUAGAGUCCACUCAGACCCG
rnacentral:tRNA from 1 species